UUUCCAGUUAUUGGAAGCAACUAAGGCGCAGGCGAUGCACCUAUGGAUUAUCAUUCAGAAGGAUCUUCCAAUGUGAUGGCAGUAGAAGCCGGUGAAACGACAAGCGAACCUGAAUGUGAUGAGUUUGUUACGGACUAUUUAGUUGAAAGCUCUGACGAUGAAAGAAUGGACACAGAACGCACAGAAGGGUAUGAUGUAGAAGCCGAAUUACGUCGAUGGGCAAUAUCCACCAAUCAAUCGUAUAAUUCUAUAAGUCAAGUUAUGGAAAUCAUACGAAACGUGAGUUCUUGUAAUCUUCCAAAAGAUGCUAGAACUUUGCUGAAGACUCAUCGAAAUGACUCAAAUGAAGUUGUAACGAUAAACGGAAGCCAGUAUUGGUAUGACGGGAUAAGAUGAUGUCUGCUCAACGAACUAAGCCGCAGCGAUAUAGCUCUCGAUUCGUAUUCUAAGCUGGAACUUAAUGUUUCUAUUGAUGGAUUACCCAUAUUUAAAAGCAGCAAUCUUCAAUUUUGGUCAAUAUUAUUCAACGUUCAUAACAUUCCAGAAGUGCCGGCAAUGACCAUUGCAGUUUACAGCGGAUCAACAAAAACCAGCAGAUAUCGAUCAAUUUCUUGAGCCCUUCGUUGAUGAACUUAACUUCCUUAUGGAAAAUGGAAUAACCAUCAAUAACAAAAAGAUUUCCAUAUAAUUACGUGUCAUUAUAGCUGAUUCACCUGCUCGAGCAUAUUUUAAAGGUGUUGCUGGUUUCAACUCACAAGAUGGUUGCUUGAAAUGCGCAACGAAAGGAAGAAGCCUUAAUGGAAGAACUGCAUUUUCCAGUCAUACUGAACUUGAGCGAACAGAUCGUGGGUUCAGAUAACGAAUUUACGAAGGUCAUCAUAAAUAUUGUACUCCAUUGUUGAAACUAAAUGACUUCGACAUUAUCAAACAAACAAUCGUCGCAGAUCAACUACAUUUGAUAGACUUAGGUAUCACCAAACGCACGAUCGUAAGUUUCAUGGAUGGAAAAUUUGGCGUUAAAAAAAAGCUUAACAAUACACAAAUUAACAAUUUGUCUGCAAUGCUGACCAACAUCAAACUUCCUAUUGAAAUUCAUAGAAAGUUCCGUUCAUUGCGUGGCUAUAAGCACUGGAAAGGCUCAGAAUAUUCCUAAUUUCUAUUUUAUGCCAGUUUCGUUAUACUCAAAGAGAUAACAAAUGAAGAACAAUACAAGCACUUCAUGCUGUUCUUUUGUAGCUUAACUUUGUUUUCCUCAAAUGUUUACAAAGACCAUUGGCCUUUAGCAAACACGUUGAUUCAACUUUAUGUAAAACAUUACGCAAAUAUCUAUGGCCCGGAAUUUAUUUCAAGCAAUGUACACAAUCUGCUACAUAUCUUCAAAGAAGUUGAACAAUUUGGUCCAAUUAGUAGCAUAUCUUCUUAUCCAUUUGAAAACCAUUUGCAGCAUUUAAAACGUUCAUUGCGUUCUGGCUGGAAAUGCUUAGGGCAAACUAUAAAUAGACUUUCCGAAAAAGAAGUUUUUAACACUCGUUCCGCUAAUCUAUGUUUAAAUUUCCCUUCUGUUCAUACCAGAACUGGCACGGUAACGUUACAUGUCCGCAAAGCCUUUCUUUUAAAAACUGGGGAACGUAACGAAUGGUUUUUGACCAAAAGUGGUAAUGUGUGAAAAUUUAUCACUGCACAUGAACAAGACCGUAACAUAAAAAUUUUGGCGAAAAAAUUGUCUCAAACAGACGAUCGUUUUGUAUAUCCUUUGAAUUCUAAAUUUAUGCAUAUGCAUCAUGGAAACCUGAGCGAUCUGGAACAUACGGAAUUGGAUGUUAAUAUUGGGGAUGUACGAUGUAAAUUGGUAGCUGUUCCCCUUUCCAAAGAAAAUGAGUAUCAGUAUGUUCCAUUAAUUCAUACCCUCGUAGGCUAAUAUUUGCAUUUCUUAGAUAAUAAAUAAUUAAUAUGAUUUUCUUUCUGUAUCGUUCUUUUUAAUUACUAUAAUUUAUGGAUUAUAACAUUUCAAAAAUUUACAUAUUAUACAUGAUACAUUUUUCAUGAGUUUUUAUUAUUAACAUA